CAGCCCUAAACGAUGCGCGUUAGGUGUAUCGGUGACCACGAGUCACCGAGGUGCCGAAGGGAAACCGUGAAACGUGCCGCCUGGGAAGUACGGUCGCAAGGCUGAAACUUAAAGGAAUUGGCGGGGGAGCACCACAACGGGUGGAGCUUGCGGUUUAAUUGGAUUCAACGCCGGGAAGCUCACCGGAUAAGACAGCGGAAUGAUUGCCGGGCUGAAGACCCUGCAUGACCAGCUGAGAGGAGGUGCAUGGCGUAGUCGUGU
rnacentral:rRNA from 1 species